UACGUAGGCAGCGAGCGUUGUUCGGAGUUACUGGGCGUAAAGCGUGUGUAGGCGGAUCGGUAAGUACCUUGUGAAAUCCCACAGCUUAACUGUGGAACUGCUUGGUAUACUGCCGGUCUUGAGCCAGCUAGGGGCUACCGGAACAAAUGGUGGAGCGGUGAAAUGCGUAGAUAUCAUUUGGAACGCCAAUGGUGAAAACAGGUAGCUGGGGCUGUGCUGACGCUGAGACACGAAAGCCAGGGGAGCAAACGGG
rnacentral:rRNA from 1 species